CAGCUAAUCACUAUACCAGUGUCCCAUGAUGGGGACCAGAUAGGCCUAUAAUCUAUCAUUUCUGGUUUAAUUCGGACCCCGUUGGGAUCUGAAGUAAUUUUGCAUGGUUAAAUAAUUUAAGGUGACCAUGACUGCUAGACUUUCUAGUUGCAAACGUUAGUUUAACAUGUCCAUAUCUGAAGAGAUGAACUACACCUGUAUUUACUCUGCUUGUGUGAACUUGCACCCAAAACCUUGAGACAUCAUUUGUUUGCAGAUGCCACUUGGAUUGAUAGUUUGUUAUCUAUUGGAGUGAGAUCACACAAAAAGCAUGUCUGUGUAAUCUCAGACAUGGCCUCAGGUUCUGUGCAACUUGACAUCAAACGGCUGUCAUGAAAAAAAUCAGCUGUGCUCAAAUAAAGUGAAGACCCAGGGUCAGAGGUAAAGCAAACUGUACUGAUUCCUAUUGCUCCAAGAAAUAUUGAUUUAUGAUAUGUUUUGAAGCAUGAUUUUUUAGAAAGUUUAUUGUGUAUUAGAUUCCGAUAGCAAAAUAGAAGUCUUUUCACAAUUGCUAUAGUAUGUCUGAAACAAAUAACUUAACAUGUAACAAAGUAAUCAGAGAGAAUAUGUCUUGUGUUAUUCCAGCAUUCAGUUUCUUUAUGCAUUAAAAAAUGAGUUCUAACAUCCACUGAGGUAAAUACAGAAUCCAUUUUUAUUUAUUUAUUUAUGGCCAUUACUACUAACAACAUCUGUACUGUUCAAGGCUUCCGAAAUGCAAAGCAGUCUCACAAAAUGUCCAUAGUUCCGUUCUUUGGAUAGAUGAUUUGUGUAAUGUGUGUUUUGAAUAUGACACCUUGCAUGUGUUAACACGUGCUUAACAAAGAGCCAAUGGAUAGUCCAUGUGUAUUUCUCAGAUGGUUAUGGAGAACCUUAGAUGACCAUGAGAAGGUGAUUUGGGAGAUCCCACAAAGUGCCUGUGAUGCAAUCUAAAACAGUUUAUUUGUGACUGUAAAUGCCUGCCCACUCCUGGCUACUUCCCCUAUCUGCUGGCAGACCGCUGCACUGUCAUCACAGGAAGCCAUAUCUCUCUCCUCAUCAAAUCUAUUUGCCUAUCCCAUACUGCACAAUUGCUUUUUCUACUCACAUAUGCUUCCCUGCUCAGCAUGGUGAUUGAAUAUGAACUUUUGAUUGAACAUUUUUCCUAAGUCCUCAGAUCUGUGGUACAAGUAGCUGUCCUCUGUCUCUUCUGUGUAACCAUGAUCCAUAGAGUCCACAAGAUCAUAGAUGCUUCCCAAGGACCACACUGGAGACGGGAACCAGGCCUUUACAUCUCCGUCCUUACCCAGCACCAGCAUGCUGAAGUAGUCACGGUUUAUCUUCAGCUGAUUUCUGAGACUCUCC